UACUAUCGGAUGAGUCCGAAGCAAUUUGACGAACUGCACAGCAUUGUCCGCAGGGACUUGAGGAGGAAUUUUGUUAGCCGGGAGCCUCUUUGCUCUGAAGAGAGACUUGCUAUAACCAUCAGGUACCUAUCCUCGGGAAUGGCAAUCAAGCUGAUAGCACUCACAUUUCGAGUUGCGCCAGCAACAUGUCGGCUUGUGAUUCACAAUGCCUGCAGAGUGAUCUGGAAGCACUUGGAGCCGCUCUACCUGCCUGAGCCACGGCCUGUGCAAUGGGAGGAAUCUGCACAAGAAUUCAGCAGGCGUUGGAACUUCUCCUCAUUGUGUAGGAGCAGUAGACGGAAAGCACGUCCAGAUUAUUGCACCACCAAAUUCUGGAAGCAGCUAUUUCAACUAUAAGGGGACGUUCUCCAUUGUUUUGAUGGCCAUCGUGGAUGCAAAGUACAAGUUCAUGAUGGUAGAUGUCGGUGCACCAGGCCGACACAGUGACGGCGGAGUCUUCAAAUCGUGCACAUUUGGAAAAAAGCUAAACGAUGGCGUCGUGGCCCUACCAGCAGCAGCACGCCUUCCAAAAAGCCAGAAGGUUGUGCCACAUGUUUUCGUCGGGGACGAAGCAUUCCAAUUGAGGACAGAUUUUUUGCGUCCAUUCCCGGGCAAAGGCAUGCUGCCAAUCCAGAGGGUAUUCAACUACCGGCUGAGCAGAGCAAGGCGCAUCGUGGAAAAUGCCUUUGGCAUUUUGAGAGCUCGUUGGAGAAUCUUGCUUGGGCCCAUUAACCUUCUACCUAAAAAUGCAACCUUUGCUGUCCUGGCUUGCUGCGCUCUCCAUAACUUCAUCUCUUCUGCCCGGGAAACAACCUACUGUCCACCAGGCUAUGUGGAUUCCGAGGAUGAUUAUGGGAAUAUCGUCCCAGGCCAGUGGAGAAGUGAUGCUGUGUCAAGUAGCCUGCUUGACCUUGAAACAACGCACUCUAGAAACUACAGAGCAAGUGCUGCUGACACAAGGAAUCUUUUCGCCCAGUACUUUUUUAAUGAAGGUGCCACUGCGUGGCAGUGGGCUCACACUGGACUUGCAGUGCCACAGAAUCCAUAGUGGAUUUAAAGCACCCAUUGUCACUAUACGAAGUCUGUGCAUUUAUUCAGGGUUGUCAGGAAAUGUAUACUUCGCGAUGAAUUGCAGCAAAUCCAUUUCCAUGUCCCGUUUCGCAUGCUUCGGGCAUGCCCGCAGCUUGUGGGCAACUAGCUGCCCAUAGACUGACGCUUGGUCCUUGUCCUCAGUUAUCAGGGCGUCAACUUUAUCACUGUCGUCCUGCCACCGAGACCUCUCUUUCCUUUUCUUUCCUGCGCCAGACCGAGGGGCUACCAGGGUUCUUGCAGCGGUGCUGGCUUGUGAGCUGCCGCGUGGUGUGUGUGGCUCUGGGCUGGUACUUCUUGAGGGCACAGGUGGAGAGAAAGCAUCAUCUUCAGAAGGUUCCGCUCCGUCUUGAAUAAAGAAAAGAAUUGCAAACCUUAAGCACUCAAAAAGGUUUUUGGAUCGUUUUCAAGAGUGGAAAAGUAAAAAAAUGAUUUGUAAACUUCCCAUGCUGCUUCUUCGUAAAUGAAAGUA